rnacentral:rRNA from 1 species
CCUACGGGUGGCAGCAGUGGGGAAUAUUGGACAAUGGGGGCAACCCUGAUCCAGCCAUGCCGCGUGUGUGAAGAAGGCCCUCGGGUUGUAAAGCACUUUCAGUGAGGAAGAACGCCUGGUGGUUAAUACCCAUCAGGAAAGACAUCACUCACAGAAGAAGCACCGGCUAACUCCGUGCCAGCAGCCGCGGUAAUACGGAGGGUGCGAGCGUUAAUCGGAAUUACUGGGCGUAAAGCGCGCGUAGGUGGCUUGAUAAGCCGGUUGUGAAAGCCCCGGGCUCAACCUGGGAACGGCAUCCGGAACUGUUAAGCUAGAGUGCAGGAGAGGAAGGUAGAAUUCCCGGUGUAGCGGUGAAAUGCGUAGAGAUCGGGAGGAAUACCAGUGGCGAAGGCGGCCUUCUGGACUGACACUGACACUGAGGUGCGAAAGCGUGGGUAGCAAACAGGAUUAGAUACCCUGGUAGUC